rnacentral:rRNA from 1 species
UCUAGUGACCGAUAGUGAACCAGUACCGUGAGGGAAAGGUGAAAAGCACCCCGGAAGGGGAGUGAAAUAGAACCUGAAACCGUGUGCUUACAAGUAGUCAGAGCCCGUUAAUGGGUGAUGGCGUGCCUUUUGUAGAAUGAACCGGCGAGUUACGAUUUGAUGCAAGGUUAAGCAGUAAAUGUGGAGCCGUAGCGAAAGCGAGUCUGAAUAGGGCGUUUAGUAUUUGGUCGUAGACCCGAAACCAGGUGAUCUACCCUUGGUCAGGUUGAAGUUCAGGUAACACUGAAUGGAGGACCGAACCGACUUACGUUGAAAAGUGAGCGGAUGAACUGAGGGUAGCGGAGAAAUUCCAAUCGAACCUGGAGAUAGCUGGUUCUCUCCGAAAUAGCUUUAGGGCUAGCCUCAAGUGAUGAUUAUUGGAGGUAGAGCACUGUUUGGACGAGGGGCCCCUCUCGGGUUACCGAAUUCAGACAAACUCCGAAUGCCAAUUAAUUUAACUUGGGAGUCAGAACAUGGGUGAUAAGGUCCGUGUUCGAAAGGGAAACAGCCCAGACCACCAGCUAAGGUCCCAAAAUAUAUGUUAAGUGGAAAAGGAUGUGGCGUUGCCCAGACAACUAGGAUGUUGGCUUAGAAGCAGCCAUCAUUUAAAGAGUGCGUAAUAGCUCACUAGUCGAGUGACACUGCGCCGAAAAUGUACCGGGGCUAAACAUAUUACCGAAGCUGUGGAUUGUCCUUUGGACAAUGGUAGGAGAGCGUU